rnacentral:misc_RNA from 1 species
AGCAGCCGCGGUAAUUCCAGCUCCAAUAGCGUAUAUUAAAGUUGUUGCAGUUAAAAAGCUCGUAGUUGAAUUUCGGGAUUGACGUGAUGGUCAUGCCUUAAGGGGUAUGAACUGUUACUGUUGAUUUCUCACCUUCUGGAGAAACUUGAUGUCCUUUAUUGGGUGUCUUGCGGAUCCAGGACCUUUACCUUGAAAAAAUUUAGAGUGUUUAAAGCAGGCAUUUUUGCUCGAAUACAUUAGCAUGGAAUAAUAGAAUAGGACGGCAUGGUUCUAUUUUGUUGGUUUCUAGGAUCACCGUAAUGAUUAAUAGGGAUAGUUGGGGGGCAUUAGUAUUCAAUUGUCAGAGGUGAAAUUCUUGGAUUUAUUGAAGACUAACUACUGCGAAAGCAUUUGCCAAGGAUGUUUUCAUUAAUCAAGAACGAAAGUUAGGGGAUCGAAGACGAUCAGAUACCGUCGUAGUCUUAACCAUAAACUAUGCCGACUAGGGAUCGGAUGAUGUUAAUUUUUUUAAUGACUCAUU